AGCAAACUAACGCAAGAACAGAAAACUAAAUACUGCCUAUUCUCAAUUACAAGUGGAAGAUCAAUGGCCCACCCUCUUCCCGGAUCAACAGGGUCCAAGAGCAGGAAAGUGGAAUUGAAUACCUGGACUAAGACCAAAGAAUGCCGCAGUGCGAGUUGGGGGGGAUAAAUUCCAGGUUUUGAGCUGUUGCUCUAGUCGGUCUGCGCCUGCAGAUGGCAGCGCUCCUUCAUCGUUGCAGCGAUGUGGAUUGAAAUGCACUGGAGCGUCAAUGGAAGGUGAAUUUAUGAAGUGAAAUCAAACUUCAGAAAUCUAUUUUCAGUUUCCCAGUUAAUUUUCUUCUUCAAGCUCCCUGAAGUAAGUUCAGUCAGAAGGUACGAGUUACAACAGAAGAUGAAGACACCCCAUUUUUGCUUCAGGACCAAGUCGUCCUCAUAUCCAGAACUUCUGUUACUCAAACGGGUGCUGUGUUUGAAUCCUCUCCGGCUCCUGUGCAGAAGCACCGUGUGAGACUGCCCAGGUUGUGUCUGCUCUUAAUCGGUUCCACUCUCCUAUCUGUUUUUAAUCAGUUCAGAAUCCACAGGGGAAUGUUGGUGAAGAAUUAAUUCCCUCGAGUCUUCCAAUAUAUUUGCCUUUCUAAGCCUAUGAAAUAGAUUUCAUUGUAUGUU